UAGCCACAGCUGAGAUCAAAGGCGAUAUUUUUACAGCAACUGAAAUAGAAAACCACUGGACACAUGGUGGGAGGUGAGUGGCCAGGACACAGGCCCCUUUGUGCAGCUUGUGGCCGGAGUGAGCAUCCUGCCCUCUUGCCACUGGGAGCUGGGGACCGUGUGGCAGUCACCGUCCCAGCUUGGGUUCAGCGAAUCGAGGAUAAAGUGGGGCUGAGCCCUGUGUGCUGACUCCAGUCCCCGAUGGUAGAAUCAUCAGAAGCUGGCACCUGCCACCCGUGCAACCAUCGUUGUCAUUGUGUGGAGUUGUCUGUCGUGCAGGUGUCUAGGGAGGCCCAGAGUCUUCCAGAC
rnacentral:lncRNA from 1 species